GAUGAACGCUGGCGGCGUGCCUAAUACAUGCAAGUCGAGCGAACAGACGAGGAGCUUGCUCCUCUGACGUUAGCGGCGGACGGGUGAGUAACACGUGGAUAACCUACCUAUAAGACUGGGAUAACUUCGGGAAACCGGAGCUAAUACCGGAUAAUAUAUUGAACCGCAUGGUUCAAUAGUGAAAGACGGUUUUGCUGUCACUUAUAGAUGGAUCCGCGCCGCAUUAGCUAGUUGGUAAGGUAACGGCUUACCAAGGCGACGAUGCGUAGCCGACCUGAGAGGGUGAUACGCCACACUGGAACUGAGACACGGUCCAGACUCCUACGGGAGGCAGCAGUAGGGAAUCUUCCGCAAUGGGCGAAAGCCUGACGGAGCAACGCCGCGUGAGUGAUGAAGGUCUUCGGAUCGUAAAACUCUGUUAUUAGGGAAGAACAAAUGUGUAAGUAACUAUGCACGUCUUGACGGUACCUAAUCAGAAAGCCACGGCUAACUACGUG
rnacentral:rRNA from 1 species